UGCUGGGUUUUCAAAUGCUCCUAACAGUUCCACUGUCUGUCCAUCUGAGCAUAGUGCUCAGUCAAUAUGCUGAAAAUAUGGUGUUCCAGCUGAGUGGUGUAAUGAGGCGGAGCUGAAAAGUCCCUGUGGAUGGGAAGAGGAGAUGCGCUAUCCUCAGGAAGGAAAGAGACCCCAGGAUGAUGAUAGCAACAAUCCAGCUGGGCCUGCAAGUCAACACCAGUCCUGGAUUUAGCAAAGAACUUUGGCAGUUUUUGAAGUGCUUGGGAUUUUGCCCUGGAUCUAGGGUCUCCAGAGUGGUUGUUGUCAGGAUUUGCUAGGUGGGGUAGGGCCACGGCUGCUGAUGCCAAUAGUCUAGGAGAGGGGAAGUGAAACCUACUGAGACUCGGGGAUGAAACAAAUUUGUAUUAAUUAAAAGCAAAUGCUGUAUGUUGGCUAAUGGGUUCCAAAGCAGAUGUUUGUCAAAAUAGCCAAGAGAUGGGUCAUCUGAAAGCAGAAGUUAUAAAUAAUAACUACGUUUCUAGUUAUUUCAUGUUUUCUCAGGUCAGAACCAGGUGUCAGUCUGUUGGAAAUACCAUAUAUUGAAACGUCUCAUGUUGUUACACUGUAGGGAACUACGUGCCAUCACUUCUGUGUAUCUGACCCAUAAACCCAAACCCCUGUGCACUUAGAAACCUAUGUGUAGCAUUACAAGUACAGCUCGCAGCCAGCUGAAUGGACAUUUACGGUGGAUGCAUCCUCACGAAUGGCACUGGCACCUCUGCACAUCUCCAUCCCUGGCUGGAGGCAGCACAAAGGACUAGAGGCGGUUUGCUCUGUUCAGUCCCAGGAUGCAGCAGAAGGGGAUGAAGAAAGAGACACGUAAUCCUGUCUGUGAUCCAAUCCAGUUUUUCCAGUGAGAGACAAAUGAAUGAGCUUGUAUUGCUCUGAAUAGCAACAAGGUGACUGGUUGCCAGCCUGUAAAAUCUGGUAUCGUCCCUGCUGGAGCCAAAGCUUGACCUUAAGAAAAUUCCUGCCAGUUUCUCCGAGGGAGCGUGUCCCUGUACUGCUGCAGAAGCCUGUCUGCCACAGUGCAGCCGCCUUCCAAAAAAAAGCGAAGGGAGAAGCGUCACGGACCAGCCCCUGCACUCCAAGGGACAUGGACACAUCAGGGAGAAGAGAACCAUGUGGAAGGGAUGUUGGAUGCCGGGGACUGGCCCAAGCCAGCCAAAGCCCCAAACAUCUCAUGGUUUCACCUUCCCUGAGACGGGAUGGCACCUGCUCCUGCAGCCGCAGCCAGCUUGCUGCAGGAGCGCAGAGAGAAGAGCAGGGAUUGAGAACCAGCUCUGAGGAUCCAUAAAAAUCUCAAGCACAGAAGAGAGAAAAACUCCCUUAAAGCCAGGGCAUAAUCAGAGUUCGCUCCUUGGCCGGGCUGUGCAGCGCGAGCGGCCGCAGCUCCCCCGGGAGCUCCCCAGCUCCGCCGGAGCUUUGAGGCAAAGGCAGAGGGGCCGAGCCCACGGCUGCUCACAGCAGAAGCGGGGAUAAUUCCCUGCACAUGGCCGAGAGCUGAGCCUUGGUCCAGCGAGGGAUUUCUGGGAGCGCUGAGCACGCAGUUAGCAAAGCAGCAGCUUUCGGUUCAGCUCUACUCGCUCAGGAUGGGGAGCACUCCUUAAAGCCUUCUGGAAGGACACCGAUAUGUUGCUGUAUCACCACAGACUGCUUUCUGAGGGAUGUGCAGCACGACACAAAAGGGAGCAGGCCAGGGCUGCUUGCUCGGCCCUCAGCAGAGAGGUCUUCGGACACCAGGGGUGCCUCACCCGGACCCAGGCACGGGAUCAAACCCCGCAGCCAAGACCAAAGGCGCUGGGGACGGCUAGCUGCGGUCUGGCUGCCUGCAGAGCCGGGGGACUGCUGGCCUCACCUGGCCUCGGAUUUGUCUUCGCCGUGGUCAGCCUUGUUGUGCUGUUGUCCCCUUGGUGGCGGUGGUGGGAUCCGUGCUGUUGGCCUUGUGGACAGGGGGUGAGCCUCCCAUCAUCGGGACGUGGAUGGAGCUUGGAGCCCAGGAUGCUGCGUUGGACAAGAGGAGUCAGCGGCACCAGGAGAAAGGCAGGGGCUGAGCUGAGAGCCCCCAAACCCACGGGGCCAUCCUGAAGUCCCGCUGCUAAUGAACUGCCCGGCCCCGUGACGAGUUUGUGCAGCCGCGUUUCAGGAAGGAGGGAGAUGAAAUCAAGUCCCAUAAUUAUUUAUUGAAAUUACAGCCCUGUCGAGGAGGACUGAAUUACUGCAGACUCCAUUAGCUGGCUCGCUGUGUAUGCGAGAGAGGGAAUGAGAAAAUGAUGGAUGGGAAAGACAGAGAAUUUUUAGAAAUAAAAGGGAAAGAAAUGAGGGACAGAAGGGGCAAAGAGGAGGGAGCGAGGGGAGAGGCAGCAGUGCCCUGCCUUGGGGGGACCGGCUCGCACCGAUCCUGCCACAGCCCCAGCGCGGUGCGGAUGUCCUGGGGUGCAGGGGAAGGGGAGAGCUCGUGGCUGGAGCUGGGACAUCCCAGCCUCGGAGGGAGCCAGCAGCUGGCAGGGGACACCCCGAUGUUAUCAGGGUGGCCGGCGAGAGCCGAGAUAAGCAAACGCACCGAAAUUACACCGCUGAGCCGCGGGAAGAGGUGGCGGCUGCUGUUAAAAGUUUUCUCUGCAGUUGUCUGUAAUCAGCACUUUGAAUGAUUGCAUAAAUAUAUUAAUUACACUAAUUAAUUUCCCCAGGAAAGAGGCUUCAGAAGCUGGAGACAGCAGGUAUCUGAAGGAGAGUGUGAGCACCAUUUUGCAGGCGGCCCAUUCUCGGCAAAUUCCUUAAUUAGGGCUGCUCUGUGACACUGAAGUUCGGCCUGCGGAUGAGUCUUUAGAAAACCUCAGUGCAAAACAUUUUAGGAAGCACGAAGCGAUCCAAGAGGAGCAUAAUUAGUGGGCAGGCUGGACUCGGCACGGCUGGGGACCCACUCUGGGGUGCAGGGAACCCACAGCCCAGGGAGGUCCCAGCCAACGUCCCCUCGUGUCCCGGCUCCUGGUGUCCUGCACAAGCCCUACCUGACCCUGGUAAGGGUAACCCAAACCCCUGUCCCCUCCUCUCCUGCCCUGUUUGCUCCCUCCCCACAGCGGCUUUCCAGAGGCCACUUCUAGGUGGAGUGAGCGACGUGCGAGCCUCUGCGCCCCUCAUCCCCUUCCCAACCUGCCUCCUGAUAAUAAUGAGCCCAGACACUUUUAUUAUCAUUAUUAAUUAGCACUUUCAAGCAAUGGAAUUAAAUCAAUAUGGUGGACUGAAACUAAUUUUAACAAGCCAUUGAGAUCAAUCAUCAGGACUUUUAUCUACAUAAAUGCCACUAAACUCAGCUCGUUAGUGUAACAUUAGCUGGAAAGAGGGGAGGGGGGGGGAGAGAGAAG